AGUUCGGAUUGGAGUCUGCAACUCGACUCCAUGAAGCUGGAUUCGCUAGUAAUCGCGCAUCAGCCAUGGCGCGGUGAAUACGUUCCCGGGCCUUGUACACACCGCCCGUCAAGCCAUGGGAGCCGGGGGUGCCUGAAGUACGUGACCGCGAGGAGCGUCCUAGGGCAAAACUGGUGACUGGGGCUAAGUCGUAACAAGGUAAC
rnacentral:rRNA from 1 species